rnacentral:rRNA from 1 species
GUCGUGUGCAACGUCCACGCCGGCACCAAGGAGCUGCAACUGACGCAGUGGGAGAGCAGCCACGUGAACAUCAUCAAGGGGGAAGGGUACCUGGACUUCAUCACCCGGUGCUGCUUCGAGGAGAAGGACGUCGUCGAGAUCUGGGCCUUCAAAGAGCGCCACUUCCAGCUCUUCGGCGUCGACAUGUGCCGUGCGAGCCCGCUCUACGUUGUGCUGGCCAAGAAAGAGCAGCGACCGGCGGCGUCGUCCAUGGGGAUGGCCAAGUGUACGAUGUAG